rnacentral:rRNA from 1 species
AUUGAACGCUGGCGGAAUGCUUAACACAUGCAAGUCGAACGGUGACGAGGAGCUUGCUCCUUCGAUCAGUGGCGAACGGGUGAGUAACACGUGAGUAACCUGCCCCAGACUCUGGAAUAACAGUUGGAAACAGCCGCUAAUACCGGAUACGAGACGGAGAGGCAUCUCUACCGUCUGGAAAGUUUUUCGGUCUGGGAUGGACUCGCGGCCUAUCAGCUUGUUGGUGAGGUAAUGGCUCACCAAGGCGACGACGGGUAGCCGGCCUGAGAGGGCGACCGGCCACACUGGGACUGAGACACGGCCCAGACUCCUACGGGAGGCAGCAGUGGGGAAUAUUGCACAAUGGGCGAAAGCCUGAUCCAGCAAUGCCGCGUGCAGGAAGAAGGCCUCGGUUGUAACUAGCUUUGUCUAGGAGAAAGUACUUACUGGUCGUAAUACCCCGGGAACGGACGUAGACGGUACCGUCGAAGAAUAAGACACCGGCUAACCUACGUAGCCAGCAGCCGACC